AACACAAAGACUUUUUCAGACAUAUAAGAGAUGAAAGAAUCACCUUGAGCCAACCUGCAUUCUAAGAUAUGUUGAAAAAAAUCCUACAAACAGAAGGAAAAUGAUGCCAUAUGGAAAUAUAUUAUAGGUCUACACAAAGGAAUAAAGAGCAUUGGAAAUGAUAACUGGUGGCAUCGUGACUCAUAGAGUUCUAACAAGUGCGACGAGUCCUGAGCAAGCGCCGAAUGCUGAAACAUUUUUUUUCUCGUCAAAAUGAGACAAGCACAGAGUUUGAUGAGCUCUAAAGCCAACAGUCACUGAGGUAUUCUCUUCAUCAAAAUAUGGAACCUAUUGCCUGUCCUCUUGAAUCUCAGCUGGCCUUAGGAGGGACUUUGGCCAAACGAUUGUAGUCUCUUCUGUUGUCCUCUCAUAAUG